AAAAUAUUUUCAAAGAAGUAUCCUGUUAAUUGGUAAUAUUCCAGCAAUGAAUUGGCCAAUCAUUGAUGCUCACUAAUCUGUUACUUUAUUUAAAAACAAAAGAUGAUGACGUCGAUCCAGAAAUGUAUCAUGCACUGGAUUAUUAUUAAGAAAAUGAACGCAACAGAGGAAUAUUCAGAUGGAAUAUAUGGAGCGCAACAGAUGGAAUCAUUGUGCAAUAAAUUGGACUGGCUUUUAAUUGGUCCUCAACGAGUAUAUAGCCACUAUAAGAUCAUGUCUCAAUACCGUUCAAACCUCGAUGAUUACUGGAUUUUUAUUGAACAAGAACGUGGUUGUUAUUCGUAUGAAAUUAGAAAAGAAAAUAUCUUAGGAUUCAGGAAUAUUGAUAUGUAUUCGUCACUUAGUCAAUGGUUUCUCUAUCGAAAGAUUCAUUAUACAUGCAAUGAUUGAGAAAAGAAAGAGAACUAUUCAAGAGAUCAUCGGAAUCAUCUUAAGGGAUAUUGAAGAACAUAGCUGCAGUAAAUAUAUAGAGAUGAAAAGAGAGUAAAUUUAUCCUAUCAAAUCUGCUAGCCUAAUAUCAAUCCUGGAGAAGAAGAAAAGCAUUACAAAUGAUACUUAAGAAGAAUUGUCACUGAAGGUUGUGUGGAAAUCAAUUGUAAGAAAGCUCAUGUGUCAAUUGUCAUGGAAUUUUGUUUCAUCGAUCAUACGAAAUAUAUUUUCUACUAAUUGAAUAUGGAAAUUGGUUUGUUUCAUGGUGGUAGAACGAUCGUUGAAAGAAGAAUAAGAUGUGAAUCACGUUCUUGUAUCAAUUUUGCUGUGGCGAUUUAUUCUCACACAUAUUUUUAUCUAUUCAAUGAACCAAUUUAGCGGUAGACGCUUUGGUAAUUAAAUGUAUCGUCGAGCAGUGCAAAUAUGUAGAUAUCCGAAAAACAAAAUAAUCAUUAUAGGGAUUCAUCAGUUAAAGUUUCUGUAUUUCCAGUUUCCAAGUUUUUUAUGGAAAAGAACAAAAAAUCCAUAUACUAAAGCAUCAUCGAAGAUUUGAAAGAUAGAUAUCGAUAAUAACGAUAUUAGGAAGCUUUAAGCAAAGCAUUGGCUUAUUUGGGAUUUUUAUUUGACGAUCAGUUGAACGAUUUGAAGGAAUAAGUGAUUAAAUGUAUAGCUAUACCAGUGUCAGGUUUUUCAUUAACUAAUUAUUUAUCAUGUUAUGAACAAAAGCUCGAUCACUGAAUACGUGAUAAGCCAUCGUUUUAAUGUCUAUAGCAUUAAACGCCAAGAAAAUUUUCAUUAGCAAAUUCGAUAAUUAUUUUUUUUUCUUUUUUUUUUUUUAAUAUUGUUAUUAUUACUUGAAAACAUUUUUC